AUCUAGCUGAUGAGUUUCAAAUAUAAUGAAACACGUGUCCUUGAU
rfam:Schistosoma rodhaini strain Burundi genome assembly, scaffold: SROB_scaffold0001423